UGUUUCCAGUGGCGGAUGGGUGAGUAACGCGUAAGAACCUGCCCUUGGGAGGGGAACAACAGCUGGAAACGGCUGCUAAUACCCCAUAGGCUGAGGAGCAAAAGGAGGAAUCCGCCCAAGGAGGGACUCGCGUCUGAUUAGUUAGUUGGUGAGGCAAUGGCUUACCAAGGCGACGAUCAGUAGCUGGUCCGAGAGGAUGAUCAGCCACACUGGGACUGAGACAC
rnacentral:rRNA from 1 species